UAAAUAUACAAAUUCAAUUGUUAGGAAAUUAUCUUACGGAAACAAUUAUGAAUUUGUACAGUGAUACAGCUAGCAAUCUUCCUUUCUUUCUUCUGUUUUGUUUUGUCUUUGAGACAGCAUCUUGCUAUGUAACUCAGGCUGGCCUUGAGCUCACUCUGUAGCCGACGGUGGCCUGUGAACUCGAAGCAAUUACCCAGCCUUAGACUGCUGGGAUUAUUGAGGCGUACCCACCACAACCAACCCGCAGUACUUUGUAAAUUCGUAGUAUGGUGAGCACUGAACUGAAAACCCGCGGGCUUUCUGACCUGGGUGGUAUGGACUUCAAGCCCCAGCAGUCAUUGCGGUGGACACUUUGUCGGGGGGAACUACGGAGUCCGAGAGGAAGAAAAAAUUAAGCUCCCCUGUCCUUUCCCUCCCAGAAGCCCGCGGGUGGCUCGGAGCGCCGUCCGUAUCAUGGCCGCGGGAGCCGGGACUGCGGGCUCCGCUUCCGGCCCGGGCGUCGUGCGUGACCCCGCGGCGUCACUGCCGAGGAAGCGGCCGAGCAGGGAGGGCGGGGAGGGUGCGCGACGGUCGGACGCGAUGGCGGGAGGAGGCGGGAGCAGCGAUAGCAGCGGGAGGGCUGGAGGCCGGCGGGCGUCCCGCAGUAGCGGGCGGGCUCGGCGAGGACGCCACGAGUCAGGGCUGGGGGGCGCGGCGGAGCGAGGCGCGGGGGAGGCUCGGCUGGAGGAGGCGGUCAACCGCUGGGUGCUCAAGUUCUACUUCCACGAGGCGCUGCGGGCCUUUCGGAGUAGCCGGUACGCGGACUUCAGGCAGAUCCGGGACAUCAUGCAGGCUUUGCUUGUCAGGCCCUUGGGGAAGGAGCAUACGGUUUCCCGGUUGCUGCGGGUUAUGCAGUGUCUGUCACGCAUUGAAGAAGGGGAAAAUUUAGACUGUUCCUUUGAUAUGGAGGCUGAGCUCACACCAUUGGAAUCAGCUAUGAAUGUGCUGGAGAUGAUUAAAACGGAAUUUACACUGACAGAAGCAGUGGUCGAAUCCAGUAGAAAACUGGUCAAGGAAGCUGCUGUCAUUAUUUGUAUCAAAAACAAAGAAUUUGAAAAGGCUUCAAAAAUUUUGAAAAAACAUAUGUCCAAGGACUCUUCAUCUCAGAAGCUCAGAAGUGAUCUCCUCAACAUUAUCCGAGAAAAGAACUUGGCCCACCCUGUUAUCCAGAACUUCUCCUAUGAGACCUUCCAGCAGAAGAUGUUGCGCUUCCUGGAGAGCCACCUGGAUGACACAGAGCCCUACCUCCUCACGAUGGCCAGAAAGGCUUUGAGAUCUGAGUCUGCAGCCUCAAGUACAGCAAAGGAGGACAAGCACCCAGCACCGCAGCCCGUGGAGAAGCCACUCCGAGAGCCUGCACGGCAGCUACAGAAUACUCCAACUACUUUUGGUAUUAGGACUCUGAAGGCAGCUUUCAAGGCUCUGUCUGGUGUCCAGGAUUCCGAGGCGGCCUUCUCAAAACUGGACCAGAAGGAUCUGGUACUUCCUAAUCAAGCACCCCUGUCAUCACCAGCCCUCAAAACCAAGAGACCCAGAAAAGAUGAAAAUGAAAACUCAGCCCCAGCUGAGGGUGAGGGCACCUCAGAACUGCAGCCUAAGAACAAGCGCAUGACAAUAAGCAGAUUGAUUUUGGAGGAGAACAGCCAGAGUACUGAGCCCAACACAGGCCUCAGCUCCUCCCCAGAGGUUGCGUCCAAGUCCACUGUCCUCAGCCAAGCCCGCCCAGGGGAGAAGAAUCCCAAGUAUGAAGACCUUCUUUGUAGCAGUUUUGGGGCUGGUUGGCGGUCCUGGUUGGGCCUGGUAUUACUUCCGUGAAUGAAGUAACUCUCAGCUAAGUUAUUCACCACCAAGUCUUGUUCAGACUGAUAGACAACUCGGGAGCAGGGAGCGACACUGUAGUCCUCCCUGCCUGUCUGGAGCUCCACACACUAGGCUGCCCAGCACUGCAUUAGGGAGUGGAGUGAGGGGAAGGCUCCUGAGCCUCCUCCCCAUCACUGCUUUCACUGUAGCGAAAACCUGAGUGCCUUGUUUGCUAAAUAUGAAUCUCCCUUGUUAGAAGAUAUUUAUUUGAAUUGGCUACUAAACUUUAAUCUUUAAAAGAAAUCAGUGAAUGCACAUAGUUUUGCACCUUUUUUUUUUUUUUUUUUGCCUUUUUGAGACAUGCAGUUAUUAUGAGCAUUUGAGACUUGAUAAAUUCGCUGGGUAUUUAUAUCAGUCUCCAAAUUCUACUAGAGUAUCCAAAGGCAAGUGGAACAGCUCUAAUGGGGUUGAAGAAAAAGAGAUGUGGAUUGGAGAGGACGAACUGUUUCAAGUUAAGG